GGUUUUUUCCUCCCUUGUUCUUGUAUUGCCAUUUUGCUUUUGUAUUCACUUUUUUUCAUCACCUGACUUUUUGCACAAUUUCUGGUUUUCAGUUAUUAAAGCACAACUGUAUUUUAACUAACAAGUGAAAAUAAAUCAACCUUUGGAAUUUUCUUCCAAUAUUUUGCAUAAAGACUUCAUAAUGUAGCUUUAGUUGUCGCAGCUUCUUCAUCUGCCAGUUUUUGAGACAGUAAUAGUACAUAUCAGGCCUUGAAAAGGAAAUAACUUCUGUAUUAAAAUACCAGUAUCUUAAUGGUCUCCAAACUGAAACUGUUCUAGUGAAUGCUGAGAUUCCUGCAUUUGAUACAGUAGAAUAUAGAGCACUUUUACAUGUUACAAAAGUACUUUUUGUUUUCAAGAAGGUGCUUAUGCUCAAUCAUCUGACCACUCGUACUAUUUUUCCCUUGCCCUCCUGUUUUAAGAAAUCAGAACUUGGUUACUUUCUGGUCUGUGUGUGUUUGUUACCAUCAUUGCUAUAUGAACCAUAUGGCUGCUGCAUCACUUCAGGCUUGCUGCAUCACUACAAGGUUUAAUCUACUUGAGCAAGUGCUGUAGGGUCAGGAUUUGGGGAGAGUUCUGGAAGGAGGUACAUGUGGAGUGAGGAAGGGUGAGCAAAAACUGCUCUCAUCUGUCUCCCUGAUGAAUUAUACAAGUGUGGGUCUUUAGAACGUACAGACUCAGAGCAGCAAAGCAGCAGGUUUUGGUUUUUGUGUCUGCUUUGGGAGCAGCAUAGCCAGCUGGAGUCUAAAGUGCUUCCUAAUAUUCUUUGCUGAGUUCUUCUGCCAAGAAUGUUUUGGGUUUGUUUGUUACUCUCUCCAGCUUUCAUACAGUCUGGUGCCCUUCCUGGCACUGUUGCCGCCCAGUCUCCUGCUUGCUACUGGCUCUGGGUUGGACCACCCUGUCUUCCAUAUCUGCUGUAGAGGAUUGUCAGAGCUUUACCUUGCUCUCCAGUGUUAGUGGCUGCUUUAAAGUCACUGCCUGCUUUAUUAAUGAAGUUUUGUUUCAUCUUAUUGGCAGUGGUGGUUUUGCAGCAUGUGGGACCUACUCUGCUGUUUUUCUUCUGAGCCACCUUGUAAUUUCACUGUGGUACUUGUGCAUCCUUGCUUUAGGGUUUAUUGUUGUAUGUGUGCUUUGCCUCUCAUUGCUGUCCUGUAAGAUUCUGCAGGAAAUUUCCUCCUACACUAGUUUCUCAUUAAAAUGUUUGACUUCAAGGUGUUUCUUCAAGUUUCAACAGUUAAGUUACUGCAUGGGUUUGCCUCUGUCCUUGACACUGGGGAUAACCCUUUAACUAGGUGCUGUGUGAGGAUAGAGCACACACUUGAAGAGGGGUCUGGGAUUGAACCAUGAUUCUGUUACUCUUGGACUAACUGUGGCCUGCAGUGAAAACCAGUGAUACACACAAGUUAUUUUUCUAUAAAUACUAUUUCUGUAAGUGCUAUUUCAUAGCAUGGAGGGAUGUCUUUGGUAUAGUUGCAAUUUCUUAUGCUUUGCUCAAAAGAUUUUGAGCAUUUGUACAACGGUGAUGCAGAGCUUUUCACUAAGACUGAUGAAAUUUCCAGUUGGGAAUAUUUGUGAAGUGUUUGGGAAUUGAUUAGUUUGGGAGGACCAGCAGCUUAUAGAAAAACAGUUUUUUUCUCAGCUAACUAGAAUUAAGGGGCAUACUUUUGAGGAGUAAUUUCAAAUAAGUUUAUUUUUAGGGAUUUCUAACAGGAUAACUUUUUUCUCCCCACAGAUGUGCUUUUUCAUGUACUGGAUUUAUAUGCAUUGUUAUGUCAAAGAACAGAUCAAAACUAGUGCAGUGUGAUUCUGGCAGCACAAAACAAGUUGCAACAUAGGGAUAAGACUAAAAUACAUAGGUCUUUCAUUAAGCUGACAUGCUUGGGGAGUUCAGACUUGAGCUGUAGCAGAAGUAGAAUCAAAUAUAUGGGAUUUCUAACUUCCACCUCUGUGCAGCAGGUCAGUUUGAGGUAUUUGAGGCAUCUGAAAAAACAUGGCUGUUACUGCUCUUCUGGCCUUAUUAGUGCAAUGAUGUGUCUUUAAAUACAAGGCGACAGUAGAAUGUUAUGCAUGUGAGGUAGCCUGUUGCAUCUUCAGUUGAGCAAAAUUACUUCUGAUCUCUGAUGAGAUCUUCUCAGUGUGACUUCCAAUUUAAGCUUCAAACAUUGCUUUCCCAUCUUCUGCUGUCUUGAAUCAUCUUACCAACUUGGUUAUCUUCCUUACAAAAAUCUGGUGAGCACAGCAGACAUCUUCUGAGGGCAGCAUCUGAUCAGCCUGUAUGUAUGGAGCCUUUUGCUACGUGUGGGUAGUUCUGCCAGGUUGUACGGUCCAGGAUGAAGGAAGUCAGUGUGUCUAAGUGUGGCUGGGUAGAGAGCACACAGGAGGCUGCCCAGCUACCUGCAAGGCUUGUGUGGUUUUGAGAAGUCAGUGGCAUUGGCAGCAUUUUUCCCUGUCCACUCCUCUGGUAAAAUCAACCCUAAAAGCCCCACAGACUGUUGUAACCAUUGAGGGAAGGGAUGUGACUCAGUUCUAACAACCUUAGUGUUGGUGGAACUGUUGCCUGGUGAAGUUACCAAGCUUCUUUUCAGGUCAUAGGCUUAACAGGGACUGCAGCAAUCAAUGGUGUCUGUGGGAGUGCUUUUGGUAACUCUUCCUAUGAAGAGAUUACAUCUCUGAAAACUUGGCUGGAGAAACAAUAAAGAUCUUGCUUUCCCUACUUGUUUUGGUACUCAGGUUUGGUUUUUACCCUAUCAUGAAGUUUAGCAUACACAAUAAAGGACAUUUUGAUCCAUAAAAAUUUAUGGGUCCAGCACUUAUUUUUUGUCUUCACCUGGGAAUCUAAUCAAAACCACUUGGCUUUGGUGCAGUUUAGCAGUUUACUGGACAAUCAGGUAAAGACCAGCAGAGAUUUAAAUAGCAGGAACAUGUUUACAAUAUCUUACUAUUUAUAAACUUGAAAGAAUUCAAUAAGUACUUUUACCUUUUUUGGUGGUUGUAAUGCUUUCUUUACUUUAAAGAAUACUUUAUUUUCUGCAAUGUCUCAGUGCACUGUUGCUGUGUCAAUAUUUCCAACGCAGCAGGGGACUGUUUACAUAAAAACACCAAAGUGUUUUCUUUAGAUUUUUUAAUUGCAAACAUUUGCAUCCAUAAAAGCAUUUGCAUGAAAUUUGGGUAGCUUUUUUUUUAUUCUGUUCAAAGCUAAACUUGGAUCAUAGUCAGUUUCCAGAUUGCUUUCUUUUCUGAACCAUGCAAUAUGAACAUUUUAUCUGAACCUACAUCAGCAGGUGUAGAAAAUUCCACCUGCCACUUCAAAUGGCAGUUCUAAUGAUCUGAAGUCAGGAAUGGUUGUUUAAAAACAGCUACAUUGCUUACACUGGCUGCAGUGUAAGUGCUUUUGAUAUAAGUACCAUCUACAUUGCUGAUACUCAGUGUCCAUAAAUGCCCUCUGUUACCCCAAAUAUAAGGUUACAUGAAGGUUGUGGGCUGUAGAGUGGUGCUACUGGUUAGUGGGACUGCUUAGUUAAUAAUCUGCAAGACAACUUGGUGGCAGAGGACCUGGACUGUGUGUCCAGGAGUAGAUGUUCCUAGCAUAAACAGGGACAUGGCAUGUCCUUGAAAUGUAUAACAUGAGCUAAGAGUUCAAGCCUCCUCUGCCUAAGCUUCCCACCUUGCACUUGGGCAUUCUGGCAUGUGUCUUCCACCAUACCUGCCUAGGCUCAGCUCCCGGGUUUUAUUCACUUUGUAACAGUGAAAUGCCAUUAAUGGUGUUCGGAGCAAAGAAAUACCACCAGGGCAGGCAGAUGGUUCCCUGCUGUGUACAUCUCCCUGGGAUGGUCUGUGCAGUGCUAAGGGAAAAUAUUGUUUUCCCUAUAUUUUAGCUGUGGAAUGAUACAAGCACUUAACAGAGGUGCUGGGAUUACAAAUGUUAGCAAGUCCACACUAGCAAUAAUAAAAUAAGGUCAGUUUGAGAUGGGGAAAUCUCUGAGGGUGCCUUUGCUCAGGGCAUGCAGGUGUGUGUCUUGCUGCACUUGGUGUGACUGGGUGGACUUGAAGCAAUAGAGUUCUUGAAGUGGUAUUGGAUUGGGAUAAGCAUUUAAUUUUCUUUUCCUGUGCAAUUUCCUUGUCCUUUAUCCCUCAUCAGCACUCUUCUCAAGCGGGAUAUGACCUUGUUAUUGAGUACUGGUAGAUAACAGAAGUCUCACUACCAUUACAUGGGAUUGCUGGGAGAAAUGAGUGAGUUUACACCUGUAAGAUCAUGAAGUUUUUCCAGAAGCAGCACAAAAAACUUGGUGAUAUUCAAAGGCAAAAAUCAGUGACUUUGAGGAUACCCAAUCUGUCACUCACUUUCCCAUUGACAAAAAGAAGAUGCAGCUUUGUCCUUUAGUAUGGCAAAUGGAAAAUAUUUGGGCAGAAUAUUUCAGUGGAAUUUGGUUGCAGAAGUAAAUUACAUGUGCAUCAGUACUGCUGCAGGUGCUCUGUGGGCCAAUAUGUGAGCAGAAAAAGGAGCCCUGGCCAGUAGGUGAAGCUGAUCAGGCUGUCAUUGAUGCUGACCCACCAAGCUUGAGGACAUUUUAUGGAUCUGAUUACAGAACCGUGGAGUCCAAGGAGGGACCUUAAAAGACUACUCUUCUUCUCAUGCCUUAGCAUGCUUAAAAAAAAAACCCAAACAACAGAAAACCACACAGCCACAAAGUACUUUGAUUGUAUGACUGGAAUAUAGUUGCAAAUGCUAUCUAAGGACAGUUGGUGAUACCUGAUACGCACCAUUUCCUACCAUGCAUUUUCUGUUUGAAACAUUUUGAUUACCUGCAAAUGAAAUUGAGUAUAAUUGAAGUUUUCAGUAUUAUUAGAGAACAAUACAAUUUACCUGUAUGUUAAGACAAAAUGGUUUUUACUUUUGUUAGCAAGAAUUUAAAAAUAUGUUUGAUUUGUUUGGGGUUUUUUGUCAGUGCACAAAGCAUUGAAAACAAACCCUUAGCAUGUUACAACACUGUUGCACUGCUGAGAACAGAACAAGUUGUUCACAGACCUGUGUUGCCCAGAGGUAUAAAUAAUCUCAGUUGUUCCCCAUCAGAUGGGGAGGAAUGGAUAAACACAUCCUUUACCUGCCUCUUGUAUGAGGUUAAUACAGGGUGCUUCCCCAAAUGGAGAAUCUGAGAACUAGACCUUGGGUCACCUGCUUCCCCACUGGCUCACAGCAUCAAAGCUGCUGGGCUGGGAUAUACAGUGCCUUUUCACUUCUCUUGAUCUCUCCAGCCCACAGUCCCAGAAUGAGCAGUUUCUGCAGAGCAUGGGAACAAAGAAACUCUUCCCUUUUCUGUUACUCCGCCCCCCUCUCUUCCCUCCUUGUUCUGCAGCUUCAGUCUGACACCUUGUUCUCUGAAGCUCCUGCAAGACAUGCUGUAACUGAGAAACAGAAACGGCUGAGAUGUUUACUGUUGAGUGUAAGAAAAGUGCAAUGCUACUUAGCUUUCCUAAGUCUGGGAAUUGUUUGUUAUAGCCUGGUUAAUGUCUCCCAGUGGUAGAGGACCAGAAAGGGUAAACCUACUUAUUGCUGUGACUUGUGUUGCCCAGGAGAGUACCACAGCAUGCCCUGUAUAUCAAAUGGCAUGAGCAUGGGAAGAUUUGGCUGUGGUAGGAGGUAAGAAUUACUUGACAGAUGUGUUCUGGUAAGAUGGCUUACUCUGUGGCUUAGCCUGGUAAGCCAAAGGAAAGUAAAGUAUGUCUUAAUUCUCUUUCAAAAUGCAGAAGUUACUUUCUUGAGAGGAUGUUGUUGCCUUGAGCAUGUGUGCCUUUUUGAUGUAGAGUGUUUGAAAAGUAAGGAUGCAAGUGAAGGCCCUGUCAAGCAAGAACUGAAAGCUUUGAAAUGUUUGCUGUAUAUGCUUCAUCUGUGACUUUGCUCAAGACUACUGGCAAUUAAAUUUACUGAUGUAUUCAUAUUUUAAUGCCUGUGAAGUUGCACCACAGGUUUACAGUGUCAUUAUUGAUUAAUUAUUUUAUGCACAGCAAUCAAAGGACCUAAUCUUCUGAUUUGUCUCCUUCCUCCUCCCCCCUCCUCCUUCCCUGUUCCCCCUAUCCCAGUCUGUGGGAGAGAUGUCACUGUGAAAAGAAGAGCAAUUUCAGGCAUCGAGGUGAAGGCUGGACUGACUUAGGGAGCUUCAGAGAGUGCCAUUUACCUGAUGUUCUCCUCUCUGUUGCUGCACUCCUUGAAAACAGGCAGGACUAGAGGAAAAGAGUUAGAAGCACCCUGGUGGGUCAGUGAGGACGAGUGAGCCCUUUGAGAUAGGUAAGAAUGGGAAAGUUGUCAAUAUUUAAUAAAUUUCACCUAUGGUGUCCAUUCUAAGGAUUUGGUGAAGUAGGAAAUGCACCCGCCUACGCUAGUACUUACACAGAGCUCCAGAAAAGGGGUGAAGUUUGGGGCUGGCUUUAGAUUCCCUGCUUUCCCUCCUUGUCUGUUGCCAUGCUUGCUGUGGAGGCUUUGGCAGGAGGAAGGGAUCAGUUCACCACCCCUGUUCCUCUUGACACCUGGGCUUGUGGAGUUCCUAGUGGUGUUGGAACAGUUGGUGCUGCUGGGAGAGGUGGGUGAGCUGUGGCUGAGGGCUGGUGGGAACAGUAGAGGAAAUGACAUGGUGCUGUGCCAGGGCUGCACAACAACUGCCUGAGCUCAUCAUGCUUAUGGAAGCAGAAAUUCAGUUGAUGUCUAGAAAAGAUGAGUUUGGCAAAUUUGUAUGUAAGCAUUGGAAAUUGUAACUACAGAGCCACAGGAGGCUGGAGAAAACAUAGUCUACUCAGGGAAAACAGUUAAAUUAGGGGAAAUAUUCUAUUUGGAGGCCUCUUUCAGGCAGUAAGGAAACAGCAGAGUCUGUGUGACUUUGUUGUGUGUCAUGUUAAGUACAGUCAAUACUGAGUCAUAAAUUAUAGAGGUGCAUCGUAUAGAUAAGUUGUUGAAUUUAUAGGUGGCAUAUGAAUAUUUGUUUCCUGUGUUGUUUCCUAUUUUUUUUUUUGGACUAGGAGUUCCCAGGGGCAGUCAGUGGCAAUGCCCUGAGUAGAAACUCUUUAGAGCUCUCUUAGAUACAUUCAUGAUUUACCUUCCAUGUGUGCUCCUUUGCUUUUGUAGGCUGGAUUUCACCUCCUGUUGUAAGUGUAGAUUUCUAGGGCCCUUGGCAAUUUCUCAGCAUUUCCUUUAAAGAUGAUGACUCAGCCCACGAAUUUCCAAAUAUCCCAGAGUUCCUUCUAACUUCUUCUGAAUGAAGGUGCUUCCAACUUCUCUAAAUACCUCUGCUAGGUUGUGGGUAAGAGAAGCUCAACUUCUGUGUGUGUCUUUGACUUUAUUUUGUUCCUGUCUUGUCUCUUGUCCUCUGACACACUGUGCUGUUCUUUACAGUGCAAGUUUUACUUCUCAUGUUUAUAAAAUAAAGCUUAGCCACCUGACCUAGGAUGCAGCAUUAUGUCAAAGAAAUAUCAUUCAGCCCAUUUUGUUCAAAGUGAAGCUGCUCCUACUGCAGCUAUAUAAAAAUUACUCCAUUUUUGUCAACAGAUGAGCCUCAUAUUCAGCACACUCAUAUGCAUUUAUUUAUUUCCAGUUUUCCAAUUUAACGUAUUAAUUGUUGAAGAUGUUAUUUUAACAGGUUGUGGCAUCAGAAAAGUUGUUUCUUCCAGAAAAAAAGCAAUUUCUAUAAAACAGAAAAGGUCCUGAAAACCCAUCUCAAUUAUUCUGUUUUCUUCCUCUUUACUCCCUGAAAGGAAAAUUGAUUCAUCUAGUAAUUUGCACAGAAAUUCCUCCCACUUUACUGCAAAGCCCUAGAAGUACAUUAUAACAAUUUUUUUCAUGCAUUUUUUACUGCAUAAAGAUGUAUGUGAUAACAAAACAUGAGUCUUGGCUUUUACAUUAAUAAAGAUGACCUACAAUACCAGUGGGAUAUUUCAAAACAUUUUUAAAACAGAAAUUAAAAUAAUUUCUCUCUUUACUUAGAAGAUAAAUUAUGUGAACCAAUUUCUGAGACUAUAUUUGUAGCACUGUCUUUAGUUUCUAUUUUGGUGGUCUGGCUUUGAGCUAGACUUUUUUUUUGUUAACUUGGAAUUUUUCUGGCACAUUGCAAAAAUGGUUCUAUUUUAUUAUUAUGAACAUUUUGCAAAAUCUUUCAGAGUAGACUUUUCUAAGUUAACCAACACCUGUGCAGUUAUUUUCUACUUCUUAGAAAACCACAGCUGAAAGGAGCAAUUAAAAACUUGAUUGCUGCUUUAAACUUGGAAUUUAAGAUGUAUUUAACACAAAUAAGCUCUCAUUUCAGGAUUGCUUGAUGCAGCCGUUUCCCCUGUCAAUAUUAAUUAUACUUUUGGGUAUGUGUGGACUGUAGGAUCUGGCGCUUAGGGAUUUAGAAAUCGUGGGUUCUCAUACAAGUGGUUCCAGAUGGGUGGAUUUUUUCUUUGGAGACUCCUGGGCCUUCCCAAGACAUAAUUUGUACCAGCCAGUCCACACUUGCAAUACAGCGCCUCUUGAGAGUCAUUUAGUGUAGUUGGGCUGCAUUGUGCUCAGAAAAGCUUCACUGAAUUGCUCUCAUCCAGGCUUGCAAAGCAGAUUAAUACUAGGCCUUACCAAUAUCAAUAUAAAAAGAAAUACAUGAAUAAUCAUGGAGGUGACUCUCUGCAUAAUCCCUGACUUUCACUGUCACUGCAGGAGCAGGGAGGUGCUCUGUGCAGAGACAGCUGAGCUGAUCCUGGCGUCAGGUGCCACAGAGCUGUGGCAGCAUCCUGGGGAUGUGGGUCCUGGCACGUCCCAGUCCCUGCUCACUAUAAACAGUGUCCCCAGCAGGAGCACAAAGGAGGCGAGCUGCUGCUCACCUGUGGCUUUUGGGCAAGGCAGAUGUCCACCUCUGUAGCGUGAGGUACAGAGCUAGGAUGUUCUCAAAGCAGUCUAAGCAUAAGGGAGCACUGAACCCAAGUCACACUAGUCCCAGCCGUGGCAAUGACUAAACCUGCAUGUGACUGAGCUGUGAGCUACUGUACAGGAUGCCAAAGCAUUUUGCCUGCCUACCAUUACUCUCCUUCUCCCCAAAAUAUAAAGCUAAGUUUAUAUAAAUGUAAAACUCUCAUAUGCAAAUACCAAGUGGAUUUCAUUCUCAAGUUUUAAAUAACUGUCAAUGGUCUAAGCAUAAUAAAUAAAUA
ensembl:lncRNA